ensembl:misc_RNA 7SK 7SK RNA
GGAUGUGAAGGCGAUCUGGCUGUGACAUCUGUCACCGCAGUGAUCACCUGGGUUGAUUCGGCUGAUCUUGCUGACAAGUCAGGUGUCCCCUUCCCCAUCACCACUCCAUGUGACCUCCUGAAGCUGUGCCAAAGCUUCCCUGAUAGAGGAGGACCAGUCUUCGGUCACAGAUAUACGAAUAGCCGCACUCCCCUGCUAGAACCUCCAAAACAGCUCUCAAACUUCACUGGGGACUCCUCUCUGCAGGGGUUUUGCCUUUCCUGUUCGCAAG